rnacentral:rRNA from 1 species
GACGAACGCUGGCGGCGUGCUUAACACAUGCAAGUCGAACGGAAAGGCCCUGCUUUUGUGGGGUGCUCGAGUGGCGAACGGGUGAGUAACACGUGAGUAACCUGCCCUUGACUUUGGGAUAACUUCGGGAAACUGGGGCUAAUACCGGAUAGGAGCUCCUGCUGCAUGGUGGGGGUUGGAAAGUUUCGGCGGUUGGGGAUGGACUCGCGGCUCAUCAGCUUGUUGGUGGGGUAGUGGCUUACCAAGGCUUUGACGGGUAGCCGGCCUGAGAGGGUGACCGGCCACAUUGGGACUGAGAUACGGCCCAGACUCCUACGGGAGGCAGCAGUGGGGAAUAUUGCACAAUGGGCGGAAGCCUGAUGCAGCAACGCCGCGUGCGGGAUGACGGCCUUCGGGUUGUAAACCGCUUUCGCCUGUGACGAAGCGUGAGUGACGGUAAUGGGUAAAGAAGCACCGGCUAACUACGUG